CUACGGGGCGCACCAGUGGGGAAUAUUGCGCAAUGGGGGAAACCCUGACGCAGCAACGCCGCGUGGGUGAUGAAGGCUUUCGGGUCGUAAAGCCCUGUCAGAGGGGAAGAACCGGCAGAGUAGGAAAUGGCUCUGCCCUGACGGUACCCUCAGAGGAAGCACCGGCUAACUCCGUGCCAGCAGCCGCGGGAACACGGGGGGUGCAAACGUUGUUCGGAUUCACUGGGCGUAAAGCGCGUGUAGGCGGAAAGGUAAGGCAGAUGUGAAAGCCCGGGGCUCAACUCCGGAUGGUGCAUUUGAAACUGCCGGUCUAGAGUAUGGUAGAGGGAAGGGGAAUUCCCGGUGUAGAGGUGAAAUUCGUAGAGAUCGGGAGGAAUACCGGUGGCGAAGGCGCCUUCCUGGACCAAUACUGACGCUGAGACGCGAAAGCGUGGGGAGCAAACAGGAUUAGAUACCCGCGUAGUC
rnacentral:rRNA from 1 species